rnacentral:rRNA from 1 species
AUACGGAGGGGGCUAGCGUUGUUCGGAAUUACUGGGCGUAAAGCGCACGUAGGCGGUGUAUCUAGUCAGAGGUGAAAGGCCUGGGCUCAACCUGGGAACUGCCUUUGAUACUGAUACGCUCGAGUCCGGGAGAGGGUAGCGGAAUUCCCAGUGUAGAGGUGAAAUUCGUAGAUAUUGGGAAGAACACCAGUUGCGAAGGCGGCUACCUGGCCCGGUACUGACGCUGAGGUGCGAAAGCGUGGGGAGCAAACAGGAUUAGAAACCCCGGUAGUCC